rnacentral:siRNA from 1 species
UAAGAAGUGUAGCCGAAGCC